GAUGAACGCUAGCGGCAGGCCUAACACAUGCAAGUCGAGGGGCAGCACAGGAAAGUAGUAAUACUUUUGGGUGGCGACCGGCGGACGGGUGCGUAACGCGUAUACAACCUGCCUUCUACUGGGGGAUAAUUCGGAGAAAUCUGGUCUAAUACCCCAUAACAACCGAUGAGGCAUCUCAUUGGUUUAAAAGCUCCGGCGGUAGAAGAUGGGUAUGCGUGACAUUAGAUAGUUGGUGGGGUAACGGCUCACCAAGUCGACGAUGUCUAGGGGGACUGAGAGGUUAACCCCCCACACUGGCACUGAGACACGGACCAGACUCCUACGGGAGGCAGCAGUAAGAAAUAUUGGUCAAUGGACGAAAGUCUGAACCAGCCAUGCCGCGUGCAGGAAGACGGCUCUAUGGGUUGUAAACUGCUUUUGUACGAGGGCAAACCCAGGGACGUGCCCUUGGUUGAAAGUACCGUCCGAAUAAGGAUCGGCUAACUCCGUGCCAGCCGCCGCGGUAA
rnacentral:rRNA from 1 species